rnacentral:rRNA from 1 species
AUUGAACGCUGGCGGCAGGCCUAACACAUGCAAGUCGAACGGUAACAGGAAGAAGCUUGCUUCUUUGCUGACGAGUGGCGGACGGGUGAGUAAUGUCUGGGAAACUGCCUGAUGGAGGGGGAUAACUACUGGAAACGGUAGCUAAUACCGCAUAACGUCGCAAGACCAAAGAGGGGGACCUUCGGGCCUCUUGCCAUCGGAUGUGCCCAGAUGGGAUUAGCUAGUAGGUGGGGUAACGGCUCACCUAGGCGACGAUCCCUAGCUGGUCUGAGAGGAUGACCAGCCACACUGGAACUGAGACACGGUCCAGACUCCUACGGGAGGCAGCAGUGGGGAAUAUUGCACAAAGGGCGCAAGCCUGAUGCAGCCAUGCCGCGUGUAUGAAGAAGGCCUUCGGGUUGUAAAGUACUUUCAGCGGGGAGGAAGGGAGUAAAGUUAAUACCUUUGCUCAUUGACGUUACCCGCAGAAGAAGCACCGGCUAACGCCGUG